rnacentral:lncRNA from 1 species
AGCUGAGGGGCUGCAGGGUGGUCGGGGUCAUCGAGAAGGUGCAGCUGGUCCAGGACCCGGCAACCGGAGGGACCUUUGUGGUGAAGGCAGGUGCCACCCUGCCCCUGCCACUCUGCAUUCCCCUUGGAUCUUUCUCAGGGCUCUUGGAAACUCCUACCCAGAACCUGCAUUUGAAGCCUGCACUCCCUCCCACAAAAGCUGGUUGUUCUGCCUGAACAUGCCCCACUUUCCAGAUGGACACACAUGCAUGCACACACACACAUACACAUACACAUACACAUACACACAAACACACAUGCACACACACUGCCCCCUCUUUGGCUAGAGGGUGGAGGACCCAGAUUCUACAGGGGCAGUGGGGGUAAGGACAGGUCAGGAACUGAGGGAGGCAGUUGCUCCACCCUCAUUCGGGUGCCCCUGAAGCCAGGGCUAGGAGGUCCCCUAACAGCAGCAGUCUCUGGCCUGUCCCCGGCUGAUCUGCCUGCCCUGCUGCUCCCAGAGCCUACCCAGGUGCCACAUGGUGAGCAGGGAGCGGCUGACCAUCAUCCCACACGGAGUCCCCUACAUGACGAAGCUGCUCAGGUACUUUGUGAGCGAGGACUCCAUCUUCCUGCACCUGGAGCAUGUGCAAGGAGGCACUCUCUGGUCCCACCUGCUCUCCCAGGCGCACUCCCGACAUUCUGGGCUCAGCUCUGGCUCUACCCAGGAGAGGAUGAAGGCUCAGCUCAACCCCCACCUCAACCUCCUGACCCCAGCGAGGCUUCCCUCAGGCCAUGCCCCUGGCCAGGACAGAAUCGCCCUGGAGCCUCCUA